CUGCCCAUGCUCUGAAUGUCAAAGUGAAGAAAUUCAACCAAGCGCGGGUAAACGGCGGGAGUAACUAUGACUCUCUUAAUUGAUCUCUGGCCGGAACUACGUGCAAGCCUG
rnacentral:ncRNA from 1 species